rnacentral:rRNA from 1 species
AUACGGAGGGUGCAAGCGUUGUCCGGAUUUAUUGGGUUCAAAGGGUGCGUAGGCGGUGCGCUAAGUCAGUGGUGAAAUCCCGCAGCUCAACUGCGGAACUGCCAUUGAUACUGGCGCACUUGAGUACGGACGAGGUAGGCGGAAUUUAUGGUGUAGCGGUGAAAUGCAUAGAUACCAUAAAGAACACCGAUAGCGAAGGCAGCUUACUAGACCGUAACUGACGCUCAGGCACGAAAGCGUGGGGAGCGAACAGGAUUAGAAACCCCGGUAGUCC